rnacentral:lncRNA from 1 species
AACCUUUCCUAAUCAAUUUGUUUAUAUGUUUAAUGUCAAUUUUUGGAUUUUAGUUUUUUAUUUUUUUCGAUGUGAUUUCCACAUUAGUAAAUCAAAAAACUGAAGUUCGCAUCUAAACUAACAAAUUUAAACACAGUAGAGCUAACACCAACAAGUUCAGACAUGGUAACAAUUCCAGAUCUCAAAUUGAAAUACACAUGAAACUAGACUAUAUUUACUAAAGCUAAAAUAACAAGCAAUAGCUAAGGAAACUUCAGUAGUCCAGUCAUCCAGUCUCGUUAUACAGUCUAGGAUUUAUACAACUUGACAUUAACUAUGUUGAACAAUUAUAUCUAAUACCUAGCUAACUACUAACACACACAGUCCUGGUAGCAUAUUUUCAGGAUCAACAGGCGACCAGUCUUAAUUCAUUCCAAGCUUAUACAGAACUUAGGAUCAAACGUGUACCUGGAUUUGAAAACAGAAAAAAAGAACAAUGAGAAGUCAGCAACAAAUAAUCAACUGGUAUGCAGCAGUCACAAGCAGCAAUAACAGGCAGAAAUCAACUAAAGCCCAGAGCUAAUUCAAUCAGUCCAAGAAUAGCUUGAAAACCCAUCAGAAACCAGAAAUCACCUAGACACAACUUGACUAAGCCAAUUGAAAUUGAAAUUGAACCCAAAACUUCGUACACACUCAAAUAACCCAACAUAACUCAAAAAAACAGAUCCAAAUGCUUUAAUCUCGAAUAUAGAACAGAAGCAGGAAAGUUCAAGCUAUUUUUCUGAUCCGGAAUGAUACAAAUAAUUGAAUCAAGGACUGAAAUUGAAAACUUAACUAAGGGAAGCAAUGAAACAGUCUUUUUGGAUUUUUUAAAGGUUUUCUAUUUUUUUGUUUUUGAAUUUUGGAUUAUAGUUUUCAGAUAAAGGCAAUGAAACAGUAAUCUCCUCCUCUCAAAACUUGAGUCCUCUUCUAUUUUCUUAAGCUCUUUUAAACUCUCCAAAUGAUCUCCAAACUGAAUCCUCUCCCUUUUUCAAUCCCUGUAUUUAUACCCAAAAUUUCCAUCACUUUUCCAGCUCAUAAGAGCAUUUAACUAAUAAUAAACUAAUUCCCCCAUGUUAUUCCCUGAAACCCCACUAUUGAAUGUUGUUCCAAUAUUGACUCCCUUUUUUCAUUUAUUAAUAAUAAUAAAGUAAUUCCCCCAUGUUAUUCCCUGAAACCCCACUAUUGAAUGUUGUUCCAAUAUUGACUCCCUUUUUUCAUUUAUUAAAUUCACUGGUAUGGGUAACUUAUUUUUAAUCAAUUCCCCUUAACCCCCAUAUUAUUCCCUAAUUUCCAGUCCUUAAAGGGGACUAAACACGUUGUCCUGGCCACUAUUGAUCAUUACAUUUGUUAAUUAGCACUCCCUGACUUCAAUCUCUCAUUUAAAUGACUGGUGCAUCCUCUAAAUAUUAACAGGCUUCAAUAUAUUCACUCAGGGUUCAAGUUCCUCCAAACUAACCCCAUUACCCCCUAUAACCCUAAUUAUUCGAUUAAGAUUUCUAGAUGUCCCAACAGCUAUAACCAGAGCUAUUUUCUACAUUUGAAUUACAAAGAAAAAGCACAUAUGGUAUCAGUUUUUUCUAAAAAUGGGAUCAGAAAAACACCAUCAUACAUGAAUAAUCUAAAUGAUCUCAAUGAAUGACUUUAUUUGAUAUUUGAUGUCUAACACAAUCAAGCAAACAUUCAGACAAAGACCUAAAAUACCAUGACACACUAACAUUCUUCGACUUAGCACAAACAUUAACGAGCACAAAUUAUCCAAUUUGACUGAACCUUAAAAUGGAAAAUUAUAGGUCUAAUUGUGGCAAAAGUAAUCAUUAAUAAUUAAACACAUACUAAUUAAUCCAAACUAAACAAAAAUGAACAAACAGAAGAGAAGGAGAAGGGAAGAAAUACAUCACGUAAAACGUGUAGAAAACAACACAGGUACUCACCGAUUCGACUGUGAAUUCACUUGGCGUCUUGACUUACAAGGAACUGAGACUAAUCAUUUUUUCUUGUUAAGAAAAACUAACCAGUAUCAGUUUAUGUCGUGAGUCGAAUAUUCUUGUUAUACGAACACAGUCUUGAGUCGAUUCAUAGAGAAUUGAUUUCGAAACUUUAAGGCUCAAACUUAGAUUUGAGGUUCGAGAGGAUGUAGUAAUACUUGAGGAAAAACAAUGGUGGAUUGUGUAUGAGGUUGUCAAGGUGGUUGUGGGGUGUGAUUUAUGGGCUGAUUGGGUAGGUUUAGGGUUUAGCCCACUUUCGAUCAAAGAUUUGUGGAGCCUGGUUGGGAUUCGAGGGAAGAUGAUUAGGGAUUUGGAAAGGGGAGGUUGAGGUGGUUAAGGGGAGUUAUGUUGGUGGUCAUCAGAGCUGGCGUCGCCGGGCUUAAAGCGAUGGGGUGGGGUGGCGACUACUAGGGUUUACGUUUGGAUUUGGUUCUCUAGAGGAGAUGAAGGAGAGAGGUAUGAGGGGUGAAGGGUUUUUGGUGUAUUAAAAUUGGGUAGUUAAUGUGGUCCGUUGGAUCAAUAAAGAUAAAUGGUCCAGAUUAGAUUAGGGGGAAAACGGGGUCGUUUUGGUUAAAUGGGGUGGGAGACUGGAC